rnacentral:misc_RNA from 1 species
GUAGAGGUGUGCCUCAGACCAUUAUAGGUGCUAACAUGGACUAUAUUUUGUGCAUAAAAUAACAAAAUGGGAGUUAUUAUGUAUAACAGGGUUUGUGUUUGAGUGUGUUUUUUCUUUCCUUAAAAGAAAGUUCUUCAGAAUUUUAAGUGGUAUUUUACAGAUUAGUUAUUAUUAAAGAUUAUAGUAUUUUAAAAUGUCAAGUCAGCUAGCCUUUUUCAUAAAUUAAACCCAAAAUAUAUAGCCCACAUCAACAUCUGGCACACCUCAUUUAGGCAAGCGACAAUUGAUACCAAUACUGAAGUAAUACAUACAACUGAUUAAAAAAAAAAAAAAUGAACUGGCGAUGAUUGAUAUUUGAACCAAAGUUUUGGAUUUUUUGUAUCAUUAAACUUUUUAUUAUUAUUAUUUGACCAUAACAGUGUUGAAACUAAUGUGGGGAAGAAUGCAUUGAUACCAAUUAAAUGGCAUGAAAUGCUUUUCUUUAUCAGUUAUUACUUUUUCCUUCUAUUAUAUUGGAAUGCCCUUCUCUCUUUUGAAAUUCUGCAAUCACAGAUUGCAAAAAGAAUGAAUAAAGUUAUUCACUUCUGUAAUAGCAGUAGAAAAAAGUGUGUUUGUGGACCUUGCAGCAAACAAGGUGACUUGGUUGGAUGAAGAAAAUUGUGUUGGAACUUUGGAAAUUACUUUCAAAAACCUGGUUGAAGCUGUUGUUGCUUGAAACCAUGCAAAUAUGCUUCUGAAUACUAAUUACUUAUGCAAAAGACUGUGAACUAAUAAUUAUUUUCAGGUUUUCUUUAAUUAUGCUAUAUAAAUUCAUCAGCUAAUUUGUAAGUAGAAUCAGCAAUCAUAGGUUUCUUAUAAUAUUCUUGUCAAUUACUUAUCAACUGUGGACGAGUGUGGUUACGUCUUUUUAUCUUCUCAGUAAAUGUUGCCUUGUGACAAAUGAUUUUCGAUUUACCACAAUUUCAUCCCUGUUCUGUAUUGGCAUCUUUCCUGAUACCUGGGCAUAACCUGGAUCUUCCUCUUUGUUUCUAAAGUAAAAUAGUGGAAUUUAUGGGCCAACAUUUUCUAAUAUUUGUGGAAUACAUGUAUACAUAUUUGCAUCUGUUUCUCCAUAAGCUAUUUUGCACUUGUGAAGGGUCUAGGACUAUUUCUUUUCUUCAUAAGUAUCCCAUUUACUUUAAAAAAAAAUGGGAAAUGAUUUUGGUUCCAUCCUGUUUUACCUGCUGCUAGCGUAAGCUGGUAAUUAAUGUCUUGAAACAAAAACAUUUAUCAUAUUUUCUGUUGCAUGUUUCAGGUAUGUAUGCAUAGGCUGCUAUGCUUAGUCUAAACUAACUCUUGAUAAAUCAUGCUCUGGCUUCCUAAGUAUGAGCUGCUUGCAUUGUUUGUCUGCUGUCCCCUCAAAAUUUCAUGCUGAGGCUAUUAGAUACUGUUUUUAUGUGUUGCUUCUCUUUUAUUCUAUAUAUUUAAUUGUUUAUUAAUCUUUGUGGGCAGCUAAUGACUAAAAAUUUGGUCCAGCAUCAUUUAUAGUCUUCUUCUUUUUUUUUAUUUUCCCUUUAUUUAAAUCAAUCAUAUACAUCUGCUUCAAUGUUUGUGUCAAUUAUAUCCAGCAUAGAGGUGUGCGUCAG